AACGAACGCUGGCGGCAUGCCUAACACAUGCAAGUCGAACGAGAUCUUCGGGUCUAGUUGCGCACGGGUGCGUAACGCGUGGGAAUCUGCCUUUGGUUCGGCAUAACAGUUGGAAACGACUGCUAAUACCGGAUGAUGACGAAAGUACAAAGAUUUAUCGCCAGAGGAUGAGCCCGCGUAGGAUUAGGUAGUUGGUGUGGUAAAGGCGCACCAAGGCGACGAUCCUUAGCUGGUCUGAGAGGAUGAUCAGCCACACUGGGACUGAGACACGGCUCAGACUCCUACGGGAGGCAGCAGUGGGGAAUAUUGGACAAUGGGCGAAAGCCUGAUCCAGCAAUGCCGCGUGAGUGAUGAAGGCCUUAGGGUUGUAAAGCUCUUUUACUCGGGAUGAUAAUGACAGUACCGGGAGAAUAAGCUCCGGCUAACUCCGUGCCAGCAGCCGCCGCGG
rnacentral:rRNA from 1 species